GCAUAUCAAUAAGCGGAGGAAAAGAAACCAACAGGGAUUGCCCUAGUAACGGCGAGUGAAGCGGCAACAGCUCAAAUUUGAAAUCUGGCUACCUUUCGUAGUCCGAGUUGUAAUUUGUAGAGGAUGCUUUUGGUGAGGUGCCUUCCGAGUUCCCUGGAACGGGACGCCAUAGAGGGUGAGAGCCCCGUACGGUUGGAUACCAAGCCUCUGUAUAGCUCCUUCAACGAGUCGAGUAGUUUGGGAAUGCUGCUCUAAAUGGGAGGUAUAUCUCUUCUAAAGCUAAAUAUAGGCUAGAGACCGAUAGCGCACAAGUAGAGUGAUCGAAAGAUGAAAAGCACUUUGAAAAGAGAGUUAAACAGCACGUGAAAUUGUUGAAAGGGAAGCGCCUAUGACCAGACUUGUUUCUGGCAGUUUCGUUAGCCUUCGGGCUGAUUUACUCUGUCCAGUACAGGCCAGCAUCAGUUUGCUGUCGGGGAGAAAGGCUCUGGGAACGUAGCUCCCCCCUUCUGGGGGGAGUGUUAUAGCCCUCUGCAUAAUACCCUUCGGCAGACUGAGGACCGCGCUUCGGCAAGGAUGCUGGCGUAAUGGUCAUCAGCGACCCGUCUUGAAACACGGACCAAGGAGUCAACCUUAUGUGCGAGUGUUUGGGUGUAAAACCCCAGCGCGUAAUGAAAGUGAACGUAGGUGAGAGCUUCGGCGCAUCAUCGACCGAUUCUGAUGUUUUCGGAUGGAUUUGAGUAAGAGCACACAGGGUUGGACCCGAAAGAAGGUGAACUAUGCUUGUAUAGGGUGAAGCCAGAGGAAACUCUGGUGGAGGCUCGCAGCGGUUCUGACGUGCAAAUCGAUCGUCAAAUAUGAGCAUGGGGGCGAAAGACUAAUCGAACCUUCUAGUAGCUGGUUCCAGCCGA
rnacentral:rRNA from 1 species